GUGGAUUCUCGGUCAUUCCGUACGGAUUCGGUGAUCGGGGAGUUCCGGAUGGAUGUGGAGAGUGUUUACUCCGAGCCAAAACACGCUUUCCUCCGGAAGUGGCUGCUCCUC